AAUUCCCAAUUUUGGGCAGUUUUGGGGUUCGAUUUUUUAACCCGAGUCUGGAAGCGGGGUCAAAACCCGCCUAAAAACCCCAAAUUUCCCCCCAAAACGGCUUUUCUCUCAUUUUUAUAUAAUUUCUACAUUUUAUAACCCAGAAAUUCAUAUUUUUCCCCGUUUCCGCCCCCUCCCAUCACCGCUUUUUGCCCGUUUCCGCGCUUUUUUGCCUCAAUCCCCUCCUGCCCCCGGGACCCUGUUGAUUUGGGGCAAAAACCGAGCGGUUUGGCCAAUUUGGGGUCCCCGAGGGGCCGGCCCCNNNNNNNNNNNNNNNNNNNNNNNNNNNNNNNNNNNNNNNNNNNNNNNNNNNNNNNNNNNNNNNNNNNNNNNNNNNNNNNNNNNNNNNNNNNNNNNNNNNNCCCCCCCCAGCCCCAUUUCUAGGCCGUUUUCCCCCAAAAAAUCUCCGGGGGGGGCCUCGAGCCUUCGGCCUCCCGCUGCCAUCCUUGGGGCCUUCAUCCUCCUCCUCCUCCUCGGGGCCUUCAUCAUCUUCAGGGCCUUCAGCCUCACCCUCUUCAUCCUCACGACCUUCAUCCUCCUCCUCCUCCUCCUCCUCAGGGUCUUCAUCUCCAUCCUCAUCCUCCUCAUCCUCCCAGCCUCCAUCCUCAUCCUCAGGGCCUUCAUCACCUCCCUCCUCAUCCUCCUCUUCCUCCCCAUCCUCAUCUUCAGGGCCUUCAUCACCUCCCUCCUCAUCCUCUCCUCCUCCGUCAUCUUCCUCCUCCUCAGGGCCCCCACCCUCCUCUUCCUCAUCUUCCUCCUCAUUGCCUUCAUCCUCACCUUCCUCCUCCUCAGGGCCUUCAUCCUCAGCACCCCAUCAUCCUCUCCAUCCUCAUCCUCGCCUUCCUCCUCCUCCUCCUCAGGGCCUUCAUCCUCACCUUCAUCUUCCUCCUCCUCCUCAGGGCCCCCACCCUCACCCUCCUCUUCCUCAGAGCCUUCAUCCUCCUCCUCAGCACCCCCAUCAUCAUCUUCAUCCUCUUCUUCCUCUUCCUCCUCCUCCUCGGUGCCUUCAUCCUCAGCACCCCCAUCAUCAUCCUCAUCAUCUUCAUCCUCAUCUUCCUCCUCCUCACCCCCCACCCCCCCCAGUACUUGUAAUGGGAGCGCCUGGCGGCUCUGGGAGCAGACAAGUAGUGCCCAGUUUGACCAGUAGCCCCAGUUCCCUUACUGGGAUAGGGAUCCCAGCUCUCCCAGUAGCCCCAGUUCCCUUACUGGGAUGGGGGUCCCAGCUCUCCCAGUACCCCCAGUUUGACCAGUACCCCCAGCUCCUGUGCUGGGAUGGGGGUCCCAGCUCUCCCAGUACCCCCAGUUCCUGUACUGGGAUAGGGAUCCCAGCUCUCCCAGUACCCCCAGUUUGACCAGUAGCCCCAGUUCCUGUACUGGGAUGGGGAUCCCAGCUCUCCCAGUAGCCCCAGUUCCUGUACUGGGAUCAGGGACUCACCUCUCCCAGUAGCCGUGCUCCCCUUUAUAUAGGACCAGGGGGCCCAGUUUGCCCAGUUUGUGUACUGGGACGAGGCCCCAGCUCUCCCAGUAGCCCUAACUGUGAUUAUAUAAGACCAGUUUGCCCAGUAUACCCCGUUUACGUACCAGUGUGAGGUCCCAGCUCUCCCAGUAGCCCAGCUCCUCAUUCACAAGGCCCAGUUUGCCCAGUAUUCCCAGUUUGUGUACUGGGAUAAAGGGCCCAGCUUUCCCAGUAGCCCAGCUCCUCAUUUACAGGGCCCAGUUUGCCCAGUUUACCCAGUUUGUGUACCGGUGUGAGGCUCCAGCUCUCCCAGUAGCCCUCCUCAUGAUCAUACAGGACCAGUUUGCCCAGUAUACCCAGUUCCUGUACUGGGACGAGGCCGCAGCUCCCCCUACAGGACCUCAGGGGCUCUCCCAGUGCGCCCAGUAACCGGCCCAGUGCUCCCAGUGCCCAUACUGGGAACACACCCCAGGAACCAGAGGGUGGUGGAAAUGGGGGGAAAAACAGGGGUUUUGGUGAAAACCUGCACAACGGGGAUCCUGGGGGGGCAACAGCAGAAAAAAAACCAGCAAAAUUGGGAAAAUUGCAGAAAAAAUCAAGUGUGUGGGGGGGCAGGGUCCUGGGUGUGCCCCCCUUGCUCCUCCCCCUCCCCAUUUUCAGCAUUUUGGGGUGAAAUCCGGCAGUUU
rnacentral:lncRNA from 1 species